rnacentral:rRNA from 1 species
GAUGAACGCUGGCGGCGUGCCUAAUACAUGCAAGUCGUGCGAACAGAUGAGGAGCUUGCUCCUCUGACGUUAGCGGCGGACGGGUGAGUAACACGUGGAUAACCUACCUAUAAGACUGGGAUAACUUCGGGAAACCGGAGCUAAUACCGGAUAAUAUAUUGAACCGCAUGGUUCAAUAGUGAAAGACGGUUUUGCUGUCACUUAUAGAUGGAUCCGCGCCGCAUUAGCUAGUUGGUAAGGUAACGGCUUACCAAGGCAACGAUGCGUAGCCGACCUGAGAGGGUGAUCGGCCACACUGGAACUGAGACACGGUCCAGACUCCUACGGGAGGCAGCAGUAGGGAAUCUUCCGCAAUGGGCGAAAGCCUGACGGAGCAAUGCCGCGUGAGUGAUGAAGGUCUUCGGAUCGUAAAACUCUGUUAUUAGGGAAGAACAAAUGUGUAAGUAACUAUGCACGUCUUGACGGUACCUAAUCAGAAAGCCACGGCUAACUACGUG